CUCAACUAGCUUACCUGGCUAAAUAAAGGUGUUCUCAACUAGCCUACCUGGUUAAAUAAAGGUGUUCUCAACUAGCUUACCUGGCUAAAUAAAGGUGUUCUCAACUAGCCUACCUGGUUAAAUAAAGGUGAAAUAAAAAAAUAAAAUAAAACAUUAGAUAGUAGCUUGUGGUGUCUGAUACUUGUGAGAUUUGUUCAUGACCGUUUGCAGUGGAAGAUGUACUUUCAGAUUUCUCAUAAGGUCGCCUGCGAGCUACUGGUAGGAAACCCCUGGUAUUAACAAGCACACACACACACACACACACACGAAGCAGUAAACCCAUUGGAACAACGGCACUACCCAGCAC
ensembl:lncRNA